rnacentral:sRNA from 1 species
AACACAACGAAUCGAUGAGCCAGGUUUGAGGUCAUUACGGACCGUGCGCAUACUGGAGCCUCGAAUGGUGAUAACCAUAGAACCAGGGUGUUAUUUUAUUGACACACUGUUAGAUAGAGCCUUGCAAGAUGAGCGCCAGAGACAGUUCAUUGAUGAAACUGUGAUUAGAAGAUUUAGACACUUUGGUGGGGUAAG